GAGAUAUAACUCAGUGGUAGAGUGCUUGUCUAGCACGCAUGAGGCCCCAGGUUUGAUCCCUUGAUUGCA
rnacentral:tRNA from 1 species